rnacentral:rRNA from 1 species
ACUCCUACGGGAGGCAGCAGUGGGGAAUCUUCCACAAUGGGCGCAAGCCUGAUGGAGCCACGCCGCGUGUGUGAUGAAGGCUUUAGGGUCGUAAAGCACUUCAUAGGGAAGAAAUGAUUAAAUAGGGACGAUAUCACGACGUACCACGAGAGCCCGAAUU